rnacentral:rRNA from 1 species
CACGUAGGGGCGAGCGUUGUCCGGAUUUAUUGGGCGUAAAGAGCUCGUAGGCGGUUCGGUAAGUCAGGUGUGAAAACUCCAGGCUCAACUUGGAGACGCCACCUGAUACUGUCGUGACUAGAGUCCGGUAGGGGAGGCAUGGAAUUCCUGGUGUAGCGGUGAAAUGCGCAGAUAUCAGGAGGAACACCAGCGGCGAAGGCGGUGCUCUGGGCCGGAACUGACGCUGAGGAGCGAAAGCGUGGGAGCGAACAGG